rnacentral:rRNA from 1 species
UUCUUACUGCUUUUAUUGUAAGUAACACCUGCUCAAUGAAUUUUAAAUAGCCGCGGAAAUUUAACCGUGCUAAGGUAGCAUAAUCAUUAGCCUCUUAAUUAGAGGCUUGUAUGAACGGUGAAACAUUUCAACUUCUUUAUUAAUUAAUUUUUUUUAAAUUUAAAUUAAGAAUAAAAAUGUUCUUAUAAAAAAAUUAGACAACAAGACCCUUUUGAACUUCACUUUUGUUUAACUGGGGCAGUUAAAAAAUAAAAAUCUUUUUUAAAUUCUUUUAAUAAAGGAACCAAUAUAAUUGAUUAUAUGAACAAGUUACCAUAGGGAUAACAGCGUAAUAUUUUUUUAAAGCUCUUAUUAAAAAAAAUGAUUACGACCUCGAUGUUGAAUUAGUGUAACUUUAUAGAUGCAGUAAUUUUAAAAGUAGGUCUGUUCGACCAUUAAAACACUAACGU